GGUAUUUGAAUUGCUGGGUAGUUAGUUAAGAAUUAUUGGAAGGCCGAAGGCCAUUUGUGUGAUUUGCAUGAAAAUAUAUUGUGCAUGCUGCCAGUUGGGGAUAUAAAUUGUGUUUUUAUGCAGGUAUAAAUUUUGGGAAAUGUCCAAUUUAUAGGGGAGACUCUGCCGAAAUUUCGGCAGAAAGUCUCGGUCUUUAGUAAGUGGGCCCGGCAUCGGGGGAUGUCAGGAAAUUCCAAAGGAUUCGUCUCGGAUUUGGGGAAAAUUCGGGGCGGGUCCUUUCA
rnacentral:lncRNA from 1 species